ACUAGAACAGCUCAGUCGAAGAAAGCAUGGGACUGCGGAUCCCAAGGUGGAGUGUUAGAAUUUCACUUCUAGUG
rnacentral:tRNA from 1 species